rnacentral:lncRNA from 1 species
AAAGUGCUGAGAUUACAGGCGUGAGCCACCGCACCCACCUCACAGGUUGUUUUUUAACAAGGAUUAAAGUGGAAGAGGAUUAAAAUGAGACAUCUGUGGGACCUGCUUAGGCUGGGGCUCAGGAUGUGCAGUGAUUAUUCCGCACCGUGGUGAUGGUGGCAGUGGUCAUCGUUCCUAUGGUGAGUCCUGAAAAGAGCGUUGAUUUUCUGAAGACAGGAACAUGUCUUCUGUCUCAGUCUUCUCUGCCCUCCCGCCCACUCCUACUCCCCCGCCCCGCCGACCCCGACCCCGCCCCAGUGCCCUGCAGAGGGAGCCUGCUGGGCAUGGGUAGAGAGCCCAUGAGAACCUGGUGCAGGUGGAAGGAAAGGGGACCCCACAGGGAAGGUAGAAGGGCCAGGGCUUUCCCCAGCAGUGGCCAGAUCUGAACAGAGAUGACUCUGUGUUGCUGUGGCCACUCCAGACCCCAGACCGCAGCCUGAUAUCCAAGCUCCCGAGGGAGCAGAAUGCAUCAGCCACCUCAGAGAGGAGGCGCAGCCCAGUCAGGGCCCCACGUUGUCACGGCUCCAGCUGUCCUCAGGAGGGAAACUGUCUUGCAAGCCUGGAGACUUCUGGUUGCUUCUCGGAGGAAAGCCCUGUCACCUCCUCACCACCGUCCCAUAAGACGGGACCCUGCGAGGCAGACGCAGCCUGCACACAGAGGAGGGAGGGGAGGCUGCUGGGGCUCCGGCCUGUGCUUUCGCCUCCAGACCAUGGAGCUUCUUCACCCACAUGCUGGGUGCCGUCCAGCCUGAGGCCUGUGUGCAGGGUCCCGGUUUCAAGCCCCGAUUCCCACCUGCUAACUGUGACCCAGGAAGCCCCACCCCCCGCAGCCCUCAGUUUCUUCACCUGCCAAACUCCCUGCCUUCGAGACCCUGCGGAAGCCUGUGGUCCUGGAGAGCCUGAGAGCCCUCAGAGCGAUACCUUCAGCUAUCCCAGGAGAAGGACACUCUUCGCUUUCAGCACCAGGGGAAAACUAGGAAAAAGCCAAGCCACUGAGUCAAUGAGGGCCUUCCCUCAGCUGCAGACAGCAAGCCCCUUCCAGGCGCUUCCCCGCAGCUACGGCAGCAAGUGCCCCAGGGGCAGGGCCGGGAAUGCUCACUGAGAAAUCCCAGAGCUGCCUGCACUUCCUCUCACCGGCUUCCCCUUCUCUCAGCAGCCACAGGCACGGGAAAGCUGCUGAUUCCCGGAGGACCACUUACACCAAGCACUGUGAGCUGAUCGAUGGCAGAGUCUCUCCAGCUCAUGAGUCUUCAGUGACUCCCCAUUGUCCAUGGAAAACAGAAGACACCUGAGGCCUUGCACAGUGGACCUUAUUCUCAUCCCUCCCUCAGGAGAAUCCUCUGCCUCGAGCCGAAGGCCGUGGGCUCUGCAGACUCCAGGCCUCUCCUUCCCAGGGCGGUCUUCCCUUUCCCUAUGCUCAAGGCACAGCCCAAGUCCCACCUCCUCCAUUGCAAGGGACACCACCCUCUGAAUUCCUGUUGGGGAAAGAGCCUAGUUUUGCAGCCAGAUAGGCCCGAGUUAGAGUCUCAGCUCAGUUCCAAUCCCAUUAGCUGGUUGCAAGUCAUUAACUUUGUCAACCUUCAGUAAAUGGAAAUCAGGCCCACACUGUAGGUGCCUGGGGGUGCUGAUGGUUGAGUGGAAUCUGUUCUUUUGACCUUCCCAGCAUCUUUCCCCUUCCCAGCAUCCUUUCCCCUUUCUUUUGGUGAUGUCGCCUGGAUUUUCUGUUGGGUAUGUGGUCCAGGGGUGGCUGACCUCACUUCCUGGUUCCAGCAUAAGAUCAUGACUGAGAGCUGGCCAAUGAGAAUAUUCCCUCGCCCCAGCCACAGAGUCAGAUUCCCGGGGAUGAACUUGUGAGUCAAAACAGGCUGGUGGGAACACACUUGGGGUGUUAGCUGGAGUUAUUGAAGCUUUCUUUCCCACUGGAGUCACUAGGUAGAUAGAAGGAAAGCUGAAGCCUUUAGCCACUGCUGUGGGUUGAAGUGUGUACCCCAAAAAGAUAUGUUCAAAUUCUAAUCCCCUGCACCUUUGGAGGUGGCCUUGUUUGGAAAAAGGGUCUUUGCAGAUGUAGGCAAGUGAAGAUGAAGCCAUCCUGGAUCAGGGUGGCUUGUGGCUUGUGUCCAAUGCCUUGUGUCCUUCUAAGAAGAGAGAAAUCGAGACACAGACACACACAGGGAAAAGGCCGAGUGAUGACAGCAGCAGAGAUGGGAGCGCGGCAGCUACAAGCUGAGGGAUGCCAAGCAUGGCUGGCACCACCCAGGAGCCUGGAGAGAGGGAGGGGACAGCCUCCUCCUUAGAGCCUCGAAACACCCUACCCACAUCCUGGCUUCAGACUUCCAGCCUGCACAACUGGGAGAGAAUCACUUUCUGCUGUGUUAAGCUACACUAGUUCAUGGUGAUUUGUUACAGCAGCUGCAGGAAAUGAACACAGACACCAAAUGGAGAUACUGUGUCUGAGAUUGAAGCCAGCACCGUGGAAUCAGAGCUGCCAGGAGGGAGACGUGGACUCUCGACCCUGUGGCCACACUUGGUUCCCCCAGCAGCUGAAGCACGAAGUCUACUGGACUUACUAGACUUUCCAGUUACCUGGACCAAUAUAUUCUCUGUUUUACUUAAGCUGUUUCGAUUGGAUUUCUGGCUAUUUCAACUGAGAGAGGCCUAACUCUCAGUUAUACAGAGACAAUGGAUGUAAAAUGCAUUGAAGGCCAGGCACAGUGGCUCGCGCCUGUAAUCCCAACACUUUGGAAAGCCAAGGCAGGAGGAUGGCUUGAGCCCAGGAGUACGAGACCAGCCUGGGAGACGUGGCAAAACGAAACCCCGUUUCUACAAAAAAAUACAUUAAACCAUUUUAAAAAGAAAAUAUAAAAUGUAUUGCAUGCUGCCUGGCCAAUGGGAGACAGUGGAGUGAAUGUAGGAAGUAGUUAGUAGAGUAAAUGGUAUUUAUUAUUACUGCUAUUGCUGUUGUUUCUAUUUCCAGCUAGGCUGAGCACUCUUGAGUGGCAUAAGGGCCGAGUCUCUAUUGGGCGUGGGAAGCAGGUUCUGAGGGGGUGGGGCCUCCUGUGGAUAGGGGGACAGGAAGCAGGACUGGGCAGGGUGAGGCCAGGCUGGGAUAUGGGCCCGAGGGCAGCCUCAGCCAGCCCCACAGGGGUUCUGGAGCCAGAACUGCUCUUCAGAGUCCCCCUUGGGCCAACGGUGUCAGGCCUUUCUGCUGUUGCAUCCUUCAGUCACUGAAGCUGGUUGCCUGGGAAGAGAACCAGAGAUCCUUGGAGAAAGGGGUGAUCCCAGGACUGGAACAGAGAUAAUGCAAGAUGAGACUGGAACAUCUUUUUGUGUCAGAAAGUAAGGAAGUGCUCAAAGAACAACGCGGACAUGUCAAAAUGACACAGGAGUCUGCCUGAAGGGGCUCCUACUGACUAAAACUGAGAGAAUUUGAGCAUCAAAAGAAAUAAUUACAGUAACGGAUCACAACGCUUUGACUACAGUGGAGAUCCAUGGGUCCAGAUGGAUAUAAGUGAAUGAAUGAAUAAAUAAAUGAGGGAGAAAGGAAAACUCUUACAGUAGAAUGCCAGCUGAUAAAUGUAGAGUGAGUGACAGAAAUAGUCACUGUUUGGCAACCAUCAUAAUGGUGAUUGAUUAAGGUCAGAGUCAUCAAACGAUGCUAAGGCUGGUGGGCGAGAUUUGAUGAGGAACAGGCUUUAUAGUCUUGGCAUCUCCUCACCACAUACCUAUCAAAUGCAAAGGGAAAGACGGUGAGUUUAUGGUGGAGAAAUCUUUCAGGCACCAACCUGACCUGGUGUCAAGGUUAACAUCACUAAUGGUGGGACAGGUCAGAAUCAUAAGCCCAAUGUGUAAUGCCCCGAGGAGAACAUGGCAUCUCUUCUGUGGCAUCCUUGCCAAGAAUGCCCAGCCCCAGAGUGGCAACUGACAGACUCAUUUGGGGGGCCAUAUUCUACCAAAUAAAUGGCCCAAACUUUUGAAGACUGUCAAGGUCACAAAAGACAAGGAGAGAUUGAAGAUCUGUUUCCUAUUCAAGGAAACUAAUGAGGCAUGACAACUCAACGCAGCUCAGAACCCUGACUUGGAACCUGGACCAGAAAGGCAAAUGAGGCAUCAUUGGGACAGUUGGAGAAAUCUGGAUGGGGUCCAUGGGUUGGAGGAUGGUGUUAAAUUAAUUAUGACUUCCUAAUUUGGAGGAUUUAAUGAUAGUAACAAGGAGAAGAUGUUGUGUUGGGGAAAUAUAAACUGGAGUACUUAGGGGUAAUGAGGCAUCGAGUCUAUAAAUUGUUCUGAAAUUCUCAAAUGGUUCAGCAAAAAAAAAAAAAAACAAAAAAAAAACAGAUGCAACUCUCUAUACAUAUAUACAUAGGAAGAGAAAGAGACAGGAAUAGGGAGGCACAGAGAGAGAGAGAAGGCACAAAUAUGGUAAAAUGUUAACAAUCAGAGAAACUGGGUGAAGGGGAUAUAGCAGUUCCUUGUACUGUUCUUGAAAUGUUUCUGGAAGUUUAAAGUUAUUUUAAAAUAAAUUACUAGUGAAUAAACCUAACACCACCCCAGGUUACCCUGCAACUGGCUUUUGCACAGCUCUGCCAACAGGUGCCACUGCAAAUGUGUGGUGCCCAAUGCUCACGAGUGCUUUUACUUGUGGUCAACAGCCCCUUGCGUUCCUGAGACAGAGUUUCCAAACUUUUACCUCUGUCCUCGAGCCCCCACCUGUCUCUCUCCCCAUCCUUUUUUGUCAGAUGACCUAACCCCUAUUUUUCAGAGCAAACAUAGGCCAACCUGGAGAGUCUUCCCUGAAUUUCCCUAACAUGACAAUUUGCAAAUGCUAUACAUCAGGUUAUUGUUGUUUUGGGUUUUGGGGGUUACUUGGAUUUUUUUUUUUUAAGAACUGGAUAUUAAACAUUUACCAAUACACCACUGAGUAUCAAUGUCUCUCAUCUCGUGCUCUUGUCCUAGGGAGUGGGUUGCAGGACGAUUGCGUGGAGUUGUGUAACAGGGCAACCCUGGUAGGGAUUGAUGUUCUGAGGCUGGGCUUGCUGUUGAAUACCUCUGUUGAAUGCCUCUGCAGCUUGCUGCAUUAAUGAAUUGAU